rnacentral:rRNA from 1 species
GACGAACGCUGGCGGCGUGCCUAACACAUGCAAGUCAACUUGACUGAAGGAGCAAUCUGACAGUAGAGUGGCGCAAGGGUGCGUAACGCGUAAGUAACUUGCCCAAGGUAAGGAAUAACGUCGAGAAAUCGGCGCUAAUACCUCAUAAUGCAGCGGAUCCGCAUGGAUAUGUUGUUAAAGGUUUACCGCCUUGGGAUAGGCUUGCGUCUGAUUAGCUAGUUGGUGUGGUAACGGCACACCAAGGCUACGAUCAGUAACUGGUCUGAGAGGAUGAUCAGUCACACUGGAACUGAGACACGGUCCAGACUCCUACGGGAGGCAGCAGUGAGGAAUAUUGGGCAAUGCUCGAAAGAGUGACCCAGCAACGCCGCGUGGAGGAUGAAGGUAUUCUAUAUCGUAAACUCCUGUGAGAGCAGACGAAAGACAGAUUAUUAAUCUGGAUGACUGUAUGCUCAGAGGAAGCCCCGGCUAACUACGUG